rnacentral:lncRNA from 10 species
CGCCGGUUGAAAGCGCGUGUCUGCGUCGGGUUCUGUUGGAGUGCGUUCGGUGCGCCGUGGGUCCGCGCUGCUUCCACCCAACUUCCUGUUAGUUUCUCUCCUGUCACAAUGGCAUGAUCUCGGCUCACUGCGACCUCUGCUUCCUGGGUUCAAGGAUUCUCCUGCCUCAGCCUCCCAAGUAGCUGGGAUUACAGGUUACAUUAGUUAUACACUCUGGAGGUGACUUGACCUGUCAUUGUGAACAAUUAUUGCUCUUGGACGACCCAGGACAUAGGCCAGCCAGUACGUACCCCAGUGUGUUGGAGAAUCGCGCUCGGCUUCUUCCUCUGUGCUGAGUCAUGAAAGUUGCCGGAGCAGGUGCAGUUACACAACCUCCAGGUAUGAUCCUGUUUAAGGACUGGAUUUAGGAUAACUACUUAGAGGUUAAAAGUCACAAGGGUGUAUGGAUGAGGCUGGAGUGAUCUGGGACCAAAGACAUCUAGGCUUGCUGUCAAGGCUUCUGAUCAACAUGAGAUGACCGCCGUGUGGUAAACUGAUGAACCCUGACCCUGAUCAACAUGAGAUGACCGCCGUGUGGUAAACUGAUGAACCCCGACCCUGAUGAACAUGACCGCCGUGUGGUAAACUGAUGAACCCCGACCCUGAUG